UCGAGUGUCUUCCCCUUCCUACAUUCCCUCGGCGUGAAAGAAAGAGAGAAAUCUUCCCCAUCUCGUCGUCUCCUCCGCUCCUUGCGCCCAAGACGAGCCGCGGCUGAGCAGGGGAGGGGCGCGCCGAUCUCCAUCCGGCGAGCAGAGCAGGGUAGGGGAUCCUGUUGGAUUGCUUGGAGAAUAUUCUCGGACAACGAGAAAAAGGCACAAGCUCUCGCUUGGAAGGCCCUGCUGCGCACUGGUUUCUGCUGA
rnacentral:lncRNA from 1 species